rnacentral:rRNA from 1 species
CACUCCUACGGGAGGCAGCAGUGGGGAAUUUUGGACAAUGGGCGAAAGCCUGAUCCAGCAAUGCCGCGUGAGUGAAGAAGGCCUUCGGGUUGUAAAGCUCUUUUGUCAGGGAAGAAACGGUGAAAGCUAAUAUCUUUUGCUAAUGACGGUACCUGAAGAAUAAGCACCGGCUAACUACGUGCCAGCAGCCGCGGUAAUACGUAGGGUGCAAGCGUUAAUCGGAAUUACUGGGCGUAAAGCGUGCGCAGGCGGUUUUGUAAGUCUGAUGUGAAAUCCCCGGGCUCAACCUGGGAAUUGCAUUGGAGACUGCAAGGCUAGAAUCUGGCAGAGGGGGGUAGAAUUCCACGUGUAGCAGUGAAAUGCGUAGAUAUGUGGAGGAACACCGAUGGCGAAGGCAGCCCCCUGGGUCAAGAUUGACGCUCAUGCACGAAAGCGUGGGGAGCAAACAGGAUUAGAAACCCCUGUAGUCCCAUGAU